ACGCUCGACACCUACGGGAGGAGCAGUGGGGAAUAUUGCACAAUGGGGGAAACCCUGAUGCAGCGACGCCGCGUGAGUGAAGAAGUAUUUCGGUAUGUAAAGCUCUAUCAGCAGGGAAGAAAAUGACGGUACCUGACUAAGAAGCCCCGGCUAACUACGUGCCAGCAGCCGCGGUAAUCUGAGCGGGCUGGCAAGGC
rnacentral:rRNA from 1 species